UACAUGGGGUGCAAACGUUGCUCGGAAUUAUUGGGCGUAAAGCGCACGUAGGUGGUCGCUUAAGUCGGAUGUGAAAGCCCUCGGCUCAACUGAGGAAGUGCAUCCGAAACUGAGUGGCUAGAGUAUGGAAGAGGGUCGCGGAAUUCCCGGUGUAGAGGUGAAAUUCGUAGAUAUUGGGAAGAACACCGGUGGCGAAGGCGGCGCUCUGGACCGAGACUGACGCUGAGGCGCGAAGGCGUGGGGAGCAAACAGG
rnacentral:rRNA from 1 species